rnacentral:sRNA from 1 species
UAUUAGCCCCGAUAGAGCCGGUAUCCUUUUUGUGCCAAUGAUAAUUGGGCCAAAAAGAUAUAGGUGAAAGCGGGAUUAGCU